rnacentral:pre_miRNA from 1 species
CGGGGGAGGCCGGAUCCUGGGCUGUGUCCCGGCGCCCUGUGCUCCGGAGCCUGCGCUGUUGGAUUCACGCUCCCGGGGCCGCGCAGCCCCCU